CACGUAGGGUGCGAGCGUUGUCCGGAAUUAUUGGGCGUAAAGAGCUCGUAGGCGGUGUGUCGCGUCGGCCGUGAAACCUGCAGCUUAACUGUGGGCUUGCGGUCGAUACGGGCAUCACUGGAGUUCGGCAGGGGAGACUGGAAUUCCUGGUGUAGCGGUGAAAUGCGCAGAUAUCAGGAGGAACACCGGUGGGCGAAGGGCGGG
rnacentral:rRNA from 1 species